GCCCCGGUGGUGUAGUCGGGCUAAGCAUUCGAGCCUCUCGAGCUCGGGACUCGGGUUCAAAUCCCGGCCGGGGCA
rnacentral:tRNA from 1 species